rnacentral:pre_miRNA from 17 species
CAGACACCCACUGUCUCCCAGCCCAAGGUGCAGUGCUGCAUCUCUGGUCAGUUGUGAGUCUGAGAUGAAGCACUGUAGCUCGGGAAGGGGGAAUAACACAGCAAC